CCUACGGGAGGCAGCAGUGGGGAAUAUUGCACAAUGGGGGGCACCCUGAUGCAGCGACGCCGCGUGGGUGAAGGAGUAUUUCGGUAUUUAAAGCCCUCUCAGCAGGGAAGCACAAUGACGGUACCUUACUCAGAAGCACCUGCUAAAUCCGUACCCGCAGCCGCGGUAAUACGUAUGGUGCAAGCGUUAUCCGGCUUUACUGGGUGUAAAGGGAGCGCAGGCGGCGGGUUAAGCCUGGUGUGAAAGUCCGCGGCCCAACCGCGGGACUGCAUUGGGAACUGUCGCGCUGGAGUGCCGGAGGGGUAGGCGGAAUGCCUAGUGUAGCGGUGAAAUGCGUAGAUAUUAGGAGGAACACCAGUGGCGAAGGCGGCCUACUGGACGGUGACUGACGCUGAGGCUCGAAAGCGUGGGGAGCAAACAGGAUUAGAUACCCUGGUAGUC
rnacentral:rRNA from 1 species